rnacentral:rRNA from 1 species
AUGGAGUCAACUACAAAACUUAAAGAUAUUACAGUGGGACAGCAAAACUGUAAGGUCUUUGCACGGGUAAUAAGGCUUUGGGAUGCUAUAAAUACGAAUCCCAGAUAUGGAAAUUCUUUGAUCAGCAUUGAUGGCAUUCUCUUGGAUGAAGAUGGAUGCAUGGCACAAAUUAGUGUGCCUAAAAAAUUUGAAAAACAAUUUUGUGGGUUGCUAUCUCAAGGAUCUGCCUAUAUUAUUUCAAAUGUUGCAGCUAUCGAUAUCAGAAGCAAAUCAUAUGUCUAUCGGCAUCAGAAUUAUAUGCUGCAAUUCAAACAAGACACAAAGGUUGAUCCGCUACAUUCAAGAGGUGCAGAUAUACCUACACUUUCGCUCGACUUUUGCCCAUUUUAUCAGCUGCCACAAAAAGCAAUUGAUUCCAAGCCACUCCUAGAUGUGAUAGGAGUAAUAUGUGAUGUUGGUCCAUAUGACUAUGCUAGCCAAACAUCUCAGCACAAAUUUCGGAAGACCAAAAUUCGCAACCUAGAAGAACAAACACAAGAAUUAGUUCUAUGGGGCCAGCAUGGAGAAUCAUUUGAUGAAGAAACAGUACUUAAAAAAUCUCAAGAAGGAAUUGUCAUAGCCAUUUUUGCUGGUGUAACUGCAACUCUACAAAGGUUUACAGGUAUGAUACAAGGAUCCUCAAGUUCUGCGACACAAAUAUAUCUUGAUCUUGAUAUACCUAAAGUUCAAAAGUACCGCACCAGGUUCUCUCUUUCUCACUCUUGCGCAUACAGAAUUUAUGUUUAG